rnacentral:rRNA from 1 species
GGGGAAUAUUGCACAAUGGGCGAAAGCCUGAUGCAGCGACGCCGCGUGAGUGAAGAAGGUCUUCGGAUCGUAAAACUCUGUCCUUGGUGAAGAAAGAAAUGACGGUAGCCAAGGAGGAAGCCCCGGCUAACUACGUGCCAGCAGCCGCGGUAAUACGUAGGGGGCUAGCGUUGUCCGGAUUUACUGGGCGUAAAGGGUGAGUAGGCGGUUACAUAAGUCAGAUGUAAAAGGCUAAGGCUUAACCAUAGUAUGCAUUUGAAACUGUGUGACUUGAGUACAGGAGAGGUAAGUGGAAUUCCUAGUGUAGCGGUGAAAUGCGUAGAUAUUAGGAGGAACACCAGUGGCGAAGGCGACUUACUGGACUGUAACUGACGCUGAGUCACGAAAGCGUGGGUAGCAAAC